AAGGUCUUUUCCUUGCUUAUGCCAAUGUCCAUGGGAAAGCAGGUUCCUACUAACCCAUUUCUGAUUUCUUUCCAUAGUCUUCCUUGAGCUUAUCCAAUAAUUACUGCAUCAAUGCCAUAGCUUUACUCACCCUCCCUAUGGAAACUAGCAGUUUAAGGUGCCCCAAUUUCCACUAACUCUGAUUUGGAAUUGAGGCCUUGUGAUUCUCAAUUUGUGUUGUAACUGUUUUAAUUACACAGACAGUUGCCUCAGAAAGUAAAUCAGGUGUUAUUUCAUCAGCCUAUUCUGCACUAGGAAGUGACAUAAAUAUUCUCUGGUAUUGUUGCAUAUGUUCCAAUUUUUCCAUUGGAAACAAAGAAUCUGAUCUCAAGGGCAUAAAAGAAAAAUCAAGUAGUCACACAGACAUCGCUACUUCCUUUUGGUCUGGGUUCUGCCCCCUCAAGGUGUGUGUGUUCACCUUCUCAGGGAUUCCAGCACAAGCUUGUGAAUCAGAUUCAAGGGAUUGGAAACCCUGAGGAAUUCUGCAUGCAAUUGUAGGUGAGAACCACAGCCACCCCCACAUUCAGCAACCACCACUAUGAGCAGUCAGCAGCCAUCGACAUUAAUGCAAGACCCUCCACCAGCAAAAAGAUUAUGACUGGCUGAAAGUUUAAGUGUUGGUUAGAAUUUUUUAGCAACCAAGUUUUUCCUAAAGUUGAGGUAUAUACAUUUUUUAAACAUAAUGCUAAUGCAUACUUGAUAAAACUAUAGUACAGUGUAGAGAUAAUUUCUUAUGCACUGGGAAACUAAAAAAUUUGUAAGACUCAUUUUAUUGUGAUAUUGUGAUAUAACCAAACUCACAAAAUCUCCAAGGUACAUUCAUAACCCCAUUCAUGACAGAUCCAUCCUCAAGACCAAUCAUCUCUGUGAGUGAGGGCUUACCUCCCGGUAUCAGCACACUGGGGACUGGGUUUCAACAUCUGAACUGGUGGGUGGGAGGGGAUGAGGGACACAAACAUUUGGCUUAUAGCACUCACCAAGGAGAAAGAAAGGGACAGAGUAUGAGGAGGUAAUUAAUAUUCCUUACUUUUUCAGCAUGUCUAGAACUAAUCCUGGACUCCAUGACUAUUCUGUAGGCGCUUCGUUAUUCUCCUCAGCUUGAUUCACUUGUAUUCGUAAGCACAUCAAAUUAUUUAGAAAUACGUAACGGAUGAAUUUCUUAUUUAGAAAAUUCCUAAAAUCAAUUUGACUCUCCUUUUAGUUUCAUGGGAGGAAUUUAAUUUUCUUUGUUGGAUGUUCAAACAUCAAGCAUAAAGCUUUCUCCACCAACCCUUCAAAGACCCAAGGGUACACAAGUGGUAAGUUUUCCUACCUUGAGAGCAACAGAGGCCCAUAAAGGUGGUCAUAGUUCUCUAGGAAGAACUAAUACCAAACCAUCAGAAGCAUAUAGCGCUAUGCUCUAGAGCCACAUAAAUUUCUUCUCUAAAAUGGUUCUGAACUGGUAUUUGACGACGGAGAAUGACUAUCAUUUUGUCUUAUGACACUUCCUCCCUUGAUUUGCUCAUUGUGAACUUGAUUUUAUUUUUGGUCUUUGCAGAUGUCUUAUUUCUCUCCCUUUUUCAUGAUCAUUUGUCCAAAGUUUAAGCCAUUCUAUUUUUCUCUCAGUACAUCUGUCACCUGUGAUUCUUCUUUUUCUCAUUUUCAAGUCUCGUUUCCCUAAUCAGUGUCUCUCCGGCCUUGGCCAUGAGCUUUGGUAUUCACAAGGAACUUUAGGUCUUUUCUUUUUGUCCCGUCUGAAGGCAGGCAAACUCAUUAUAUUUUGCCAAAAUAUACAGUCACAGAACGAGAGAGACUAGAAGGACAUCUAUGAAACUCUCUGCCUGUUUGAUUCUUUUAAGGAUUAUCCUUUCCUGUGCUUUUUUGUGAGGUUUUAUUUGUUUCCAGUUUCAAAAUCUUCAAUGACAUGUCCGUAUUCCCUAACAUGCUCGCCAAUCCUACAGGAAUUCAGUAAGUACCUGCUGACCAGCUCACCGAUUCUUUAAGAGCACAUAUGGUAAGAGAAAAUUUAUCUUGACAUCUAACUCAAUAUUGUUUCUCUAUUCAAGAUUCAAUUAUUUUCCCUCACUACCUUGAGUUUCCUUCACAAUAAUCUACUACUUGGAGCUCUAAUUCUCCAUUGUCUCACUCUCCUUAGUUUGUUGUUCAGUUAAAUAUGUAAGUGUCUCAUAAUCUCAUGAUAUAAUUGAUAUGCUUUUACUUUUUAUUUUUACGCUGUUGAAUGUUCUAAAGAUCUACCUUUGUAAACUGCCAUAUGUCUAGUUUCCUGAAAAUCAGCUACAUGUUAGCAUGGCAGGGAGUAGGGAGUGCAGGCUUAGGGAGGCAGGAGACAGGGAGAAGAUAAAGCAGGGCAGGAGAGAGAGCAAAUAGGAAGGGAAGUAUUACUCAUCAUACCAACACUUGGCAGCAAGUUCAGCCAAUUGCUCAAUCACACAGGAUAAUUUUAGAGAUGCCAAUUGUACCACUAUGGAGACGGUAUGGAAGAAGAACCCAUCUGCUGACUCCUUACUAUCUUCUUUCUCUCACUGGUGUUAACUCACCCAAACUUCCAAGUUACAGCAUCCAGAUGCUAAAGGCAGCCACGGGAGCCCAGAGCCCGCAUAACUAUUGAAUCAGUCCUGCCAGCACUCAGCAAAGUGAUCUUCCUUGCCCAGCUGGCAUCAUGGUACAGAGUUUCUCCAUCUCUGGUGAUGAAUUAUGGUGGUGGCAUCAGCAACCUGGACUAUCACCCUGGGGACCAAACGAGCCAUUUCAAAACAAUUUUCUCAGCAAGCACGGUUAGUGCUCAUUAACUGGGUCCUACAUAGUACUCUUUAUAGAGAAAAAUAACUUAUAGAGCCUUUUAUGCUGCCUUUUUCAUUUUCCAUGGAGAGCUAGCGUGUUCUUUGGCGCAUGUUUUUUUUUUCCCUCGCCCAUGUAGCUCUGCCCAGGGGAAGCCCCUCCUCCCUCUUCUGUCAUAACUCUCAAAAGCAUCUCCUUUGAAGUCACUGGCUAAUUGAUACUUUCCUUUCUCCAUUUAGUUUGUUCUGACUUCCUUUCACAAAACACUGAAAUGUUUUCCUGUAUUUCUGUCUUUCACCAGCUGAUUCAGUUACCCUGUGCCCAGUUAUGCCCCUGAGGAAUCAGAACAUUUGCCUGGAUUACCUGCCCAACACUCCAUAGAUCAGUCUGCUAUUGGUGGACACUAGGGUCAAUUACUGUAUUUCACUACUAUAAAUAAUACCUAAUAUCUGCACAUAUCUACAGUUAUUUCCUUAGGAUGUGUUCCUAAAAGUGAAAGUGCUAUGCCACUGGUUACCUGAUGCUGAAUUUUCUCAAAGGCAGUAAAGCACAUUUAUUCACAUUCUUGACAAUAUGAAGUAUUUUAAAUGACCUUGUCCAAAGCAUUUAACAUAGAAAAUAAAAUAGAAACUACAUAAUAUACAUCUAGGUAAUAUUAACAGAUACUCGAUGCUAUGUAGUACAAAAUAAUAUGAGAUCCUAUUCAUUCAUUUAUUGCCUAGCCUUCAUUUUUCAGUUUUUUUUCUCUAAUAAACUUAACUAAGAGACUGUUUUUGUUUUGUUUUGUUUUUUAGGGCCACACCAGCAGCAUAUGGCAGUUCCCAGGCUAGGGGUCCAAUCAGAGCUACAGCUGAUGGCCUACACCACAGCCACAGCAAUACAGGAUCCAAGCUGCAUCUGCAACCUACACCACAGCUCACAGCAACACCAGAUCCUUAACCCACUGAGCAACGCCAGGGAUUGAAACCUCAACCUCAUGGUAACUAGUCGGAUUUGUUUCCACUGUACCACAAUGGGAACUGUGCUUUUUUGGUUUGCUAUUUUGUAAGUGACUUUUAGAUACACCCAACAAGCAACAUACAAGUCUAAAAUUACAUAUUGCAUUUCCAAGAGGUACUGGAGGUUUGCUUCAUAAGUAAGUAAAACAGUGAAUUUCUCAUUACUGAAUGGGAUUCAGAGCAUUAUCAACUUUCCAUUAGGAGAGAAAGGUUUUAUAACCUAAUUUUCUUUUUUGGUGCUCAAAAAAGUCCAUAAAGAUUCUCCUUCAUAAAAAUUUACUCUUUUGGGGUCAUGAAGCUACCCUCUGUGUAAUUUCAGAAUUCUCUUGAUAUACUAUGUUUACUAUAUUUAUCAUACAACAGAUGUGCUAGCACCUAAAGCUGGCAGUGAAUAUGUAUCCUGUGGUUUUAAAUUCUUUAAUUUUUAAUAUCGAAGUUUUAGUUUAUGUUUACCUUCUAGCAAAGAGGUAUGUACCAGAUGUUUGCCAUAAUUCCAUUUCAUUUUGCUUUUUUAAUCUACAAUAUUUUAGUAUUAAAUUGCACAUAAUCUGUAACUAUUUUAACCGCAUUAGACCUAUUUUUUAAAAAAUCUAAGUCAUAAAGAACAAAUGGGUUCUCUAAGACAUAGCAAUGAAUACACAGGUUUAACUAUGUUGAAUCUGAAGUCUUCUAUACCAAAUGGGUCACAAUACAAUCAGAUAAGUUCUUGAGAAAUUACUGGAAGGUGUUCUAUCAUAAAUAAUUUUUUAAAUUACUCAAAACUUUAAUGUCUGACUGUAAACUCUUCAUGUUAUCUCAGACUAGCCUUUGUUCCAUAUUUACUCAAUAAGUGUAAAAAGAAAGCUUAUUUUUCUUUUUGUAACUUAUUUAAUAACAUAAAACAAAGAAUAUGUAGUAAAUUAUCCUGGCAGUAAAUUAUUGAGCCUGAUUGCCAUAAGACUCUUUCUCCUAUCUAGUAAUAGGAAUUAUAUUAAUGUGUCUACACAAUGGAUUAAGUAAAUAUGAACCAAAAUAAUGCUGAGACUUCUGGUUUUAAAAUGGUGGAAUAAAAUGACUCUGUCUCUUCUCCUCCAAAUAUAUCCCAUAUAAAAGGGAACAGAAAGCAGAAAUAUAAAUCUGGCUCAAUAAAAAUAAGAGACACCUUGGAGUUCCUGUCGUGGCUCAGCAGAAAUGAAUCUGACUAGCAUCUAUGAGGACACAGAUUCAAUUCCUGGCCAUGCCCAGUGGGUUAAGGAUCUGGUAUUGGCAUGAACUGUGGUGUAGGUCGCACAUGCAGUUCAGAUCCCACUUUGCUGUGGCAGUGGCAUAGGCCGGCAUCUACAGCUCCAAUUCAACCCCUAGCCUGGGAACUUCCAUGUGCUGCAGAUGUGGCCCUAAAAAGACAAAAAAAAAAAAAA
rnacentral:lncRNA from 1 species